rnacentral:tmRNA from 1 species
GGGGCUGCAUUGGUUUCGACGUGGGUUGGAACCGCUUCGGGGCAUGUCGAGGUUCAGUCACCUCGUAAAUCCGCUGAAACAAAAGUAACUGCAAACGACGAACGUUUCGCACUCGCCGCCUAAACACCGGUGAGCCUCGCAACAGCAGGCCGAUGGGCUGGGCAAGGGGGUAGCAAUACCUCCCGGCUGCGAGGGCAUUCACAUCGGCUGGCUUGUGUCCGGGUACCUUGGGCGCAAGCGAGAUCCAAGGGUGCUGGCCGCCUGCACAGCGUGCGCCUGCGCGGCGCGGGUGGCGAGAUUCAAACCAGAGCGCUACACAUGUAGAACCGGGCGAGGAAGAUUUGCGGACGGGGGUUCGACUCCCCCCAGCUCCACCA